rnacentral:rRNA from 1 species
UACAGAGGGUGCGAGCGUUGUCCGGAAUCACUGGGCGUAAAGGGCGCGUAGGCGGCCUGAUAAGUAGGGGGUGAAAUCCUGUGGCUUAACUGCAGGGCUGCCUCCUAGACUGUUAGGCUCGAGCACGGUAGAGGCAGAUGGAAUUCCCGGUGUAGCGGUGGAAUGCGUAGAGAUCGGGAAGAACAUCGGUGGCGAGGGCGGUCUGCUGGGCCGUUGCUGACGCUGAGGCGCGACAGCGUGGGGAGCAAACAGG